GGCGGGUUGACAGAGCGGCCAUGUACUCGGCUGCAGACCGGGUUAGAAGGGUUCAACUCCCUUACCCGCCU
rnacentral:tRNA from 3 species